rfam:Pongo abelii chromosome 4.
AGAUGUUAGGGCAAUCUGGCUGCGACAUCUGUCACCUCAUUGAUCACUAGGGUUGAUAUGGCUGAUCUGGCUAGCUAGGCAGGUGUCCCCUUCCUCCCUCACCACUCCUUGUGCAUGCCUCCCAAAGCUGCACGCUGCGUCAAAGAAGAUGACCAUCCUCGAUAGAUGAGGAUGGGUCUUCAGUCAAGGGCAUAUGAUUACCCGUGCUCCCCUGCUAGAACCUCCAAACAAGCUUUCAAGGAAUGUACAAUGAAAAAAAAAGUUUUACCUUUCAAAUUAGCAUCUAUAUGAAAAAUACAAGAAUACAUUU